rnacentral:rRNA from 1 species
CCCUUAGAUGUUCUGGGCUGCACGCGCGCUACACUGACGCACGCAACAGGUGCCUGCUCCGAGAGGACUGGGUAAUCAUUUGAGUGUGCGUCGUGAUGGGGAUAGAAUAUUGUAAUUAUUACUCUUCAACGAGGAAUUCCUAGUAAGCGCAAGUCAGCAGCUUGCGCUGAUUACGUCCCUGCCCUUUGUACACACCGCCCGUCGCUCCUACCGAUUGAAUGCUCAGGUGAGCCAUUCGGACUUUCAUCAUGCUGGUUUCCAGUUUUGAUGAAGGAAAGUCUUGCGAACCUUAUCAUUUAGAGGAAGGAGAAGUCGUAACA